UACGAGGGGGGCAAGCGUUGUUCGGAAUUAUUGGGCGUAAAGGGUGCGUAGGCGGUUUGGUAAGUCUUAUGUGAAAUCUACAGGCUCAACUUGUAGUCUGCAUGAGAAACUGCCGGGCUUGAGUAUGGGAGAGGUGAGUGGAAUUCCUGGUGUAGCGGUGAAAUGCGUAGAUAUCAGGAGGAACACCUGUGGCGAAAGCGGCUCACUGGACCAUAACUGACGCUGAUGCACGAAAAGCUAGGGGGAGC
rnacentral:rRNA from 1 species